GUGCACCUGUAGGCAGUGGCGUAGUCAGAAAUAGUAUUUUGGGCAGGCCAGUACAAAAGUGAGUGGGCCAGUUUCAAAAAGACGUAGAAGUAGCAAAAAGGACAAACU